ACGGGGGGUGCAAGCGUUGUUCGGAAUCAUUGGGCGUAAAGCGCGUGUAGGCGGCUUGACAAGUCAGAUGUGAAAUCCCCGGGCUUAACUCGGGAAGUGCAUUUGAAACUGUCUGGCUAGAGUAAGGGAGAGGAAGGUGGAAUUCCUGGUGUAGAGGUGAAAUGCGUAGAUAUCAGGAGGAACACCGGUGGCGAAGGCGACUUUCUGGCCCUAUACUGACGCUGAGACGCGAAAGCGUGGGUAGCAAACAG
rnacentral:rRNA from 1 species